rnacentral:misc_RNA from 1 species
GUCCAGAAUGAGGUGGGUCAAAUCCAUAAGGUACAUGAGCAGCAGCUGGUCUUUCACUUCCAAGAAGCUGAGACCCUUUUCUGUAGGAUAGGCACCAGCUUGAACUUUUUGUGUCAGUGAUUUCACUUGUGCAGUUACAGCCAUCACUUGCUCCUGGAGAUUUUUCAGAAGUGUCACGGCACUUGGCAGGUCGGACUCCAGCACCCCCAGCGCCG